rnacentral:snRNA from 1 species
AUCGCUUCUCGGCCUUUUGGCUAAGAUCAAAGUGUAGUAUCUGUUCUUAUCAGCUUAAUAUCUGAUACGUCUCCUAAUGGAGACAUCGAUAUUAAACUGAUUUUUAGAAUGGGAUGAGGUGCCACGGGGCUUGCUCCGCCCUCAUCACGGGUUGACCCGGUAUUGCAGUACCUCCGGGAAUGGCCCACCACUC